rnacentral:rRNA from 1 species
GGAAUAUUGGACAAUGGGCGCAAGCCUGAUCCAGCCAUGCCGCGUGUGUGAAGAGGGCCUUAGGGUUGUAAAGCACUUUCAGUGGGGAGAAAGGUUAUUCACCUAAUACGUGAGUAAAUUGAUGUUACCCACAGAAGAAGCACCGGCUAACUCAGUGCCAGCAGCCGCGGUAAUACGGAAGGUGCAAGCGUUACGCGGAAUUACUGGGCGUAAAGCGUACGUAUGUGGUUUGUUAAGCCAGCUGUGAAAUCCCCGGGCUCAACCUGGGCACUGCAGUUGGAACUGGCAAGCUAGAGUGGGGUAGAGGGGUGUGGAAUUCCAGGUGUAGCGGUGAAAUGCGUAGAUAUCUGGAGGAACAUCAGUGGCGAAGGCGACACCCUGGACUCAUACUGACACUGAGGUACGAAAGCGUGGGGAGCAAAC